AAUAAGCUAAAUAAGAGCGUAUGGGGAAUGCCUAGGCUCUCAGAGGCGAUGAAGGACGUGAUAAGCUGCGAAAAGCUGCGGGGAUUGGCACAUACAAAUUGAUCCGCAGAUAUCCGAAUGGGGCAACCCAGCAUGUUGAAGACAUGUUAUCCGUAAGGAGGCGAACCCGGAGAACUGAAACAUCUAAGUACCCGGAGGAGAAGAAAACAAAAGUGAUUCCGAUAGUAGCGGCGAGCGAACUUGGAAUAGCCCAAACCAGUAUUGUUACGGCAAUACUGGGGUUGUAGGACUGCGAUAUUUGAGCUAUAAUGAAUUAGAACUGCUUGGAAAGACAGGCCAUAGAAAGUGAUAGCCCUGUAUAAGUAAAGAUUAGUAAGAUAGCAGUAUCCUGAGUAGUGCGGGGCACGUGAAACCCUGUAUGAAUUUGUCGGGACCAUCCGAU
rnacentral:rRNA from 1 species